UGUGAUUAAUUGUAUGCUAAAUUGUUUUAGCAGUUUAUAAGAGCAGCACUCGAAGCCUAAUUCUUUUGAAAUUUUACGUUUUUCUUUGAAAAUUAUUUUCACUAGAGUAAAGCUUUAAAGUAAAAACGCAUUAUUUUAGCAGGUUUUUAAAUGCAAAUGAAUUUGAAAAUCUUGAAUCCAAUAUUUUUUUAAACUUGGUCAAACAAAGAAACAUAUAAACCAUGCAUUAGUUUUAAUUUUUCAUAGUGUUAAGUAUAAGUUAUAAAGGAUUUUGGAGCUUAAAACAUCAGACCUUGUUUCUGAAUAAUUUUGGGCAUAAAAAUCAUUCGCACAAUUAUUGCAAGAUUUUAAUUUUUCAUUGUGUAUCAUACUUAUUUUCUUUUAGAUACAUUUUUAGGUGCUGUAAGGAAGUUGAAGAAUUACAUAUUAAUGAUCUUCAUAUUUGGAUAUUAUUUGCUAAUUUGUUAUUGGUGCUUGAUGUGAUUAAUUUUGUGCCAAAUUGUUUAUCAGUUUAUAAGUGGAGCACUCGAAGCUUAAUGCUUUUGAAAUUUUAUGUUUUGCUUUGAAAAUGAUUUUCACUGGAGUCAAGCUUUAAAAUAUUAAAGCAUUGUUUUAGCAGGUUUUUAAAUGAAAAUGAAUUUGAUUAUCUUGAAUCCAAUGUUUUAAACUUGCUUAAACAAAAAAACAUGGUAAAACUUGCAUUAGUUUUAAAUUUUCAUAAUGUUAACUGUAAGUUAUAAAGGAUUUUAGAGUUUAAAACAUUAAACUUUGUUUAUUAACAAUUCUGGGCGUAAAAAGCAUUCGCACAAUUAUUGCACGAUUUUAAUUUUUCGUUGUGUUGCAUUACCUAUUUGCUUUUAGAUACAUUUCUAGGUGCUCUAAGGAAGUUAAGGAAUUACAUAGGAAUAAUCUUCAUAUUUGGUUAUUAUUUGUGAAGUUGUUAUUGGUGCUUGAUUUGAUUAAUUAUGUGCUAAAUCGUUUUAGAAGUUUAUAUGGGGAGACUCGAACCCUAAUGCUUUUGAAAUUUUAUGUUUUGCUUUGAAAAUGAUUUUCACUGGUAUAAAGUUUUAAAAUAUGAAAGCAUUGUUUUAGCAGAUUUUUAAAUGAAAAUGAAAUUGAAUAUCUUGAUUCCAAUGUUUUAAACUUACUCAAAAAAAGAAACAUGGUAAAACUUGCACUGGUUUUAAUUUUUCAUACUGUUAAGUGUAAGUUAUAAAGUAUUUUGGAGCUUAAAACAUCAGGCUUUGUUUCUAACCAACUCUGUGCUUAAAAGCCAUUCGCACAAUUAUUGCACGAUUUUAAUUUUUCAUUGCGUUUCAUACUUAUUUGCUUUUAGAUACAAUUUUAGGUGCUUGAGGGAUGUUGAGGAAUUACUUAUGAAUGAUCUUCAUAUUUGGAUAUUAUUUGUGAAGUUGUUAUUGGUGUUUGAUGUGAUUAAUUAUGUGCUAAAUUGUUUUAGCAGUUUAUGAGUGAAGCACUCGAAGCUUAAUACUUUUUAAAUUUUAUGUUUUGCUUUGAAAAUGAUUUUCACUGGUAUAAAGCUUUAAAAUAUGAAAGUAUUGUUUUAGCAGAUUUUUAAAUUGAAAUGAAUUUGAAUAUCUUGAAUCCAAUGUUUUAAACUUGUUCAAACAAAGAAACAUGGUAAAACUUGCAUUGGUUUUAAUUUUCCGAAAUGUUAAGUGUAAGUUAUAAAGGAUUUUGGAGCUUAAAACAUCAGACUUUGUUUAUGAAGAAUGGGCAGAAAAACCAUUUGCACAAUUAUUGCACGAUUUGAAUUUUUCAUUGUGUUUCAUACUUAUUUGCUUUUAGAUACAUUUUUAGGUGCUCUAAGGAUGUUGAGGAAUUACAUAUGAAUAAUCUUUAUAUUUGGAUAUUAUUGUGAGUUGUUAUUGGUGCUUGAUGUGAUUAAUUGUCUGCUAAAUUGUAUUCAGCAGUUUAUAAGGGGAGCACUCGAACCUAAUGCUUUUCGAAAUUUUAUGUUUUGCUUUGAAAAUUAUUUUCACCGGUAUCAAGCUUUAAAAAUACGAAGGCAUUGUUUUAGCAGGUUUUUUAAAUGGUAAUGAUCUUGAAUAUCUUGAAUCCAAUGUUUUAAACUUGCUCAAACAAAGAAACAUGGCAAAACUUGCUUUGGUUUUAAUUUUUCACAGUGUUAAGUGUAUGUUAUAAAGGAUUUUGAGCUUAAACCAUCAUACUUUAUUUCUGAACAAUUAUGGGCUUAAAAACCAUUCUUUCAAUUAUUGCACGAUUUUAAUUUUUUGUUGUGUUUCAUACUUAUUUGCUUUUAGAUACUUUUUUAGGUGCUCUAAGGAUGUUGAGGAAUUACAUAUGAAUGAUUUUCAUAUUUUGAUAUUAUUUGUGAAGUUGUUAUUGGUGCUUGAUGUGAUUAAUUAUAUGCUAAAUUGUUUUAGCAGUUUAUAAGGAGAGCACUCGAACUCUAAUGCUUUUGAAAUUUUAUGUUUUCCUUUAAAAAUGAUUUUCACUGGUAUAAAGCUUGAAAAUAUGAAAGCAUUGUUUUAGCAGAUUUUUAAUUGGAAAUGAAUUUGAAUAUCUUGAAUCCAAUUUUUUAAACUUGUUCAAACAAAGAAACAUGGUAAAACUUGCAUUGGUUUUAAUUUUUCGUAAUGUUAACUGUAAGUUAUAAAGGAUUUUAGAGUUUAAAACAUUAAACUUUGUUUAUGAACAAUUCUGGGCAUAAAAACCAUUCGCACAAUUAUUGCACGAUUUUAAUUUUUCAGUGUGUUUCAUACUUAUUUGCUUUUAGAUACAUUUUUUGGUGCUCUAAGUAUGUUGAGGAAUUACAUAGGAAUAAUCUUCAUAUUUGGUUAUUAUUUGUCGAGUUGUUAUUGUGCUUGAUGUGAUUAAUUGUCUGCUAAAUUGUUUCAGCAGUUUUAUAAGGAGAGCACUCGAAACUAAUGCUUUUGAAAUUUUAUGUUUUGCUUGAAAAUGAUUUUCACCGGUAUCAAGCUUUAAAAUACGAAGGCAUUUGUUUAGCAGGUUUUUAAAUGCAAAUGAUCUUGAAUAUCUUGAAUCCAACGUUUUUAAACUUGCUCAAACAAAGAAACAUGGCAAAACUAACUUGCAUUGGUUUAAUUUUCACAGUGUUAAGCGUAUGUUAUAAAGGAUUUUGGAGCUUAAACCAUUAGACUUUGUUCUGAACAAUUAUGGCUUAAAAGCCAUUCGCACAAUAUAUUGCACGGUUUUUAAUUUUUUCGUUUAUUCAUGCUUAUUUGCUUUUAGAUACACUUUUAGGUGGCUCUAAGGACGCUGAGGAUUACGUAUUAAUGAUCUUUCAUAUUUGGAUAUUAUUUGUGAAGUUGUUAUUAGUUCUUGAUGUGAUUAAUUAUGUGCUAAAUUGUUUUAUAAGUUUAUAUGGGGAGGACUCGAAGCCUAAUGGUUUUGAAAUUUUAUGUUUUGCUUUGAAAAUGAUUUUCACUGGUAUCAAGCUUUAAAAUAUGAAUGCAUUGUUUUACCAGAUUUUUAAAUGGAAAUAAAUUUAAAUAUCUUGAAUCCAAUGUUUUAAACUUCCUCAAACAAAGAAACAUAGUAAAACGUCCAUUGUUUUUAAUUUUUCAAAAUGUUAAGUGCAAGUUAUAAAGGAUUUUGGAGCUCGAAACAUCAAACUUUAUUUAUGAACAAUUUUGGGCAUAAAAGUCUUUCGCACGGUUAUUGCACGAUUUUAAUUUUUCGUUGUGUUUCAUACUUAUUUUCUUUUAGAUACAUUUUUAGGCGCUCUAAGGGAGUUGAGGAAUUACAUAUGAACGAUCUUCAUAUUUGGAUAUUAUUUGUGGAGUUGUUAUUGGUGCCUGAUGUGAUUAAUUGUCUGCUAAAUUGUUUCAGCAGUUUUAUAAGGAGAGCACUCGAAACCUAAUGCUUUUGAAAUUUUAUGUUUUGCUCUGAAAAUGAUUUUCACUGGUAUCAAGCUUUAAAAUACGAAGGCAUUGUUUUAGCAGGUUUUUUAAAUGCAAAUGAUCUCGAAUAUCUUGAAUCCAAUGUUUUAAACUUGCUCAAACAAAGAAACAUGGCAAAACUUGCAUUGGUUUUAAUUUUUCAUAGUGUUAAGCGUAUGUUAUAAAGGAUUUUGGAGCUUAAACCAUUAGACUUUGUUUCUGAACAAUUAUGGGCUUAAAAGCCAUUCGCACAAUUAUUGCACGAUUUUUAUUUUUCGUUGUUAUUCAUGCUUAUUUGCUUUUAGAUACAUUUUUAGGUGCUCUAAGGAUGUUGAGGAAUUACGUAUUAAUGAUC
rnacentral:lncRNA from 1 species